rnacentral:rRNA from 1 species
AUUGAACGCUGGCGGCGUGCUUAACACAUGCAAGUCGAUCGGUAACAGGUGUAGCAAUACAUGCUGACGAGAGGCGGACGGGUGAGGAAUAUUUGGGAAUCUGCCCAUCAGCGGGGGACAACCCGGGGAAACUCGGGCUAAUACCGCAUACGCUCUACGGAGGAAAGCCGGGGACCGCAAGGCCUGGCACUGAUGGAUGAGCCCAAAUCGGAUUAGCUAGUUGGCGGGGUAACGGCCCACAAAGGCGACGAUCCGUAGCUGGUCUGAGAGGACGAUCAGCCACACCGGAACUGAGACACGGUCCGGACUCCUACGGGAGGCAGCAGUGGGGAAUAUUGGACAAUGGGGGAAACCCUGAUCCAGCGACGCCGCGUGGGUGAAGAAGGCCUGCGGGUUGUAAAGCCCUUUCGGUAGGGAAGAAAUCUCUUGUCUUAACACGGCAAGGGUUUGACUUAACCUACAUAAGAAGCACCGGCUAACUCUGUGCCAGCCGCCGCAGUAACAC